UACGUAGGGUGCAAGCGUUAUCCGGAAUUAUUGGGCGUAAAGAGCUCGUAGGCGGUUUGUCGCGUCUGCUGUGAAAACUGGAGGCUCAACCUCCAGCCUGCAGUGGGUACGGGCAGACUAGAGUGCGGUAGGGGGAGAUUGGAAUUCCUGGUGUAGCGGUGGAAUGCGCAGAUAUCAGGAGGAACACCGAUGGCGAAGGCAGAUCUCUGG
rnacentral:rRNA from 1 species